GCUAGCUACAGGCUUAACACAUGCAAGUCGAGGGGCAGCAUGGUCUUAGCUUGCUAAGGCCGAUGGCGACCGGCGCACGGGUGAGUAACACGUAUCCAACCUGCCGUCUACUCUUGGACAGCCUUCUGAAAGGAAGAUUAAUACAAGAUGGCAUCAUGAGUCCGCAUGUUCACAUGAUUAAAGGUAUUCCGGUAGACGAUGGGGAUGCGUUCCAUUAGAUAGUAGGCGGGGUAACGGCCCACCUAGUCUUCGAUGGAUAGGGGUUCUGAGAGGAAGGUCCCCCACAUUGGAACUGAGACACGGUCCAAACUCCUACGGGAGGCAGCAGUGAGGAAUAUUGGUCAAUGGGCGCAGGCCUGAACCAGCCAAGUAGCGUGAAGGAUGACUGCCCUAUGGGUUGUAAACUUCUUUUAUAAAGGAAUAAAGUCGGGUAUGGAUACCCGUUUGCAUGUACUUUAUGAAUAAGGAUCGGCUAACUCCGUGCCAGCAGCCGCAGUAAUACGGAGGAUCCGAGCGUUAUCCGGAUUUAUUGGGUUUAAAGGGAGCGUACAUGGAUGUUUAAGUCAGUUGUGAAAGUUUGCGGCUCAACCGUAAAAUUGCAGUUGAUACUGGAUAUCUUGAGUGCAGUUGAGGCAGGCGGAAUUCGUGGUGUAGCGGUGAAAUGCUUAGAUAUCACGAAGAACUCCGAUUGCGAAGGCAGCCUGCUAAGCUGCAACUGACAUUGAGGCUCGAAAGUGUGGGUAUCAAACAGGAUUAGAUACCCUGGUAGUCCACACGGUAAACGAUGAAUACUCGCUGUUUGCGAUAUACGGCAAGCGGCCAAGCGAAAGCGUUAAGUAUUCCACCUGGGGAGUACGCCGGCAACGGUGAAACUCAAAGGAAUUGACGGGGGCCCGCACAAGCGGAGGAACAUGUGGUUUAAUUCGAUGAUACGCGAGGAACCUUACCCGGGCUUAAAUUGCAGAUGAAUUACGGUGAAAGCCGUAAGCCGCAAGGCAUCUGUGAAGGUGCUGCAUGGUUGUCGUCAGCUCGUGCCGUGAGGUGUCGGCUUAAGUGCCAUAACGAGCGCAACCCUUGUUGUCAGUUACUAACAGGUUCCGCUGAGGACUCUGACAAGACUGCCAUCGUAAGAUGUGAGGAAGGUGGGGAUGACGUCAAAUCAGCACGGCCCUUACGUCCGGGGCUACACACGUGUUACAAUGGGGGGUACAGAGGGCCGCUACCACGCGAGUGGAUGCCAAUCCCAAAAACCUCUCUCAGUUCGGACUGGAGUCUGCAACCCGACUCCACGAAGCUGGAUUCGCUAGUAAUCGCGCAUCAGCCACGGCGCGGUGAAUACGUUCCCGGGCCUUGUACACACCGCCCGUCAAGCCAUGGGAGCCGGGGGUACCUGAAGUGCGUAACCGCGAGGAGCGCCCUAGGGUAAAACUGGUGA
rnacentral:rRNA from 1 species